AAAUGAGAACCGGUUCACGCUGCGUGGGGUAAAACCUUCGUAGUGUGUUACCGUCAACCUCUACCCUUGUAUAUUAUUCAACUGUUGCUUUGGCAGGCCGCGAGCCUUUAUGGUAAGCACCGGCUUCGGCUGGAGAGUGCCUGCCAGAGGACCCCAACUCUGUAUUAUAUGAAGUCUGAGUACUAUUAAAUAGUUA
rnacentral:misc_RNA from 1 species